rnacentral:misc_RNA from 1 species
CCGAAUUGUCAACACGAGUUGUUGCUGGUCCCCAACGGGGGCAUGUGCACACUCUGUUUGUACAUCCACUCACACCUGUGCACCCUCCGUAGCUCUGCAGCCUGGGGGCUCUGUCCUCCUGCCGUAGUUCUAUGUAUUUACACACACACACACAAUAAUGAAGUCCCAUGGAAUGUAUGCCGCGUUUAACGCAAUACAAUA